rnacentral:lncRNA from 1 species
AUUUUUUACAUAUCCAGUCUACAACUCUUUCUUAGUCUUUUGCAUUAAUAAAUUCCUUACAUUUGCCUAAUAAAUCCAGUUUACAAUUAUCACUUAUAACUUCCAACACUUCAGAAAUCUAAACUUCAAUUUGCUGCUGGUAAUUUUUUAUAUAUCCAGUCUACAACUCUUUCUCCGUCUUUUGCAUUAAUAACUUCCUUACAUUUGCCUAAUAAAUCCAGCCAUAGUUUUAUAUUCAUAACUACAUCUUUUUACACUUUUAACUUAUUUUUCAUGCAAAUGACAGAUAUAAAAAAUGGUUGCAACUUACAAGUUUAUCCCACAAAUUAUAUCAGAGAUAAACUAGUCUGCAAAGCUUAUCGUUGCAGGAAAGCAGGCACCAAAAACUGCACGUAACUCUACAACUUGAUAUCAAAAUCUUAUCUUCAUGGACUUGCAGGUUACUACAUACUAAUAAUUACAAGAAUCUUGUAGCUUUCACUAUAAUUAUAUUUUCUAUUCACAUAUUUAUCUCUUUUUAACAUUGAACAGGGUAACAAAGUUACAGCUACAAUGUAUGAUGCUAAUAUUACAGCCCUUAGUGAUCAGCUGACACUCGGAAAGACGUACAUAAUCUCAAAUGCAAUGGUUAAAAAUAACAUAAGUGAAUUUAAAAGUACAUCUGAAGAGAAGAUUUGGACUAUAACAGGAAGAACAAAGGUUGAAGAGCUUAAUGAGAAUAACUUGAACUUCUUGUUUUCGAAGUACGAGCUCACUCCGUUUCAUGCACUCGAACAUCAUAUGGACAAAAACACGAACAUAAGUAAGAUUUCUACCAUACUAACUUUACAACAAGUACUUCCAUGUAAUGUGCUAUAGAUAUUUUGUUCGUGCUAACAUUUAAUACAUACAAAACACUACAGAUGAAAGUUUCCUGUUCUUCUUGCAGAUAUUAUUGGUGUUGCUAUAGAGGUUAGCCAAAAAUGGAUCAUCCAAACUCAUUUUGGUACCCAAGCCAAUCUUUAAGAUAUCAUAUUGAUAGAUAAAAACUACCAGACAAUAAUGUUAACUCUUUGGGACACUUUUGUUGAACGAGAGUGCACUGCCAUUGUUCAAAACCUACCAACAAAACUUGUGAUAUGGGCCAUAAAUCUUAAAGCAUCUUCUUUCAAUGGUAAUCCAAUCUCAAGAUAUUAUUUUAUUUAGAAUAAUAUUAACCAAAAAAAAAAAAAUACAGAGACAUAUUAAUUAUUGUUACUUUUCUUUCUUCCACAGGCAUUACACUCUCGACUAAAGCCAAUAGCAAUAUCUUUAUUAAUGCUGAAUUGUUAGCUGUGACAGACUACAAAGAGUGGUAUUCAUACAUACCUACAACACUUUUUAACUUCCCCCCUUUCUGUGAAAAAAAUGAAAUGCUGAAUUUUGUGUUACAUGUAUAAUUGUAUAAUUCUUUUCCUUAGGGUGCUAACAAACAAAGAAAAGCUUGACCAACUUAUAGAAAGGAAGCCAUUUGUUCCUAUCAGUCCACCAAAGCUAUCACCCCCUGCUGACAACAAAUACACAUCUAUUGCACUAUUACUAGGACUCUAUUUAGGGGUUUUCUCUAAACUCCUUCAUUUAAUGUACAUAGCAUACAUUUUCAUUAUAUUCCACAAUUAUCAUUAUGAAACCACCAAACAUCUAUUAUUCUGGCCUAUAUAUUCAUAAUCUAAUAACACGUAUUUUUUCAACAGAGAAAAUUUUAUUGGAUCAAGGCCCAUUGGAAAAUUAUUACAAUGCAACAGAGAUUUUGGUAUAUGUCUUGUAGUAACUGUAAGAAAACAUCGACUGCAGACUUGGGACAAAUUCAUAAAUGUCGCUUCUGCAAGUACGAGCAUGCAAAAGCCGAACCCCGGUAAAUUAAACCUUUAAACAUAUAUUUACGUAUCUACUAACACUUAUAUUUCUUUUAAACAAUAGACCAUACCUAAUUCAAACCAAUUUUAACUCCAGUGCAAAUGCUUUUGUUCGAUUUGAAGAUAAAACUGGACAAUUGGAUGCAAGUAUCAUCGGCAAGGCGACAGAAGCCUUAUUGGAAACUAAUGCCAACGUGAUAAUGGAACAUUACCAACAGGUAAAUCCAAAAUACUAACAUUCUUUCAGAAAACUUUUUCCCACACACAAAUAUACUCUAACGAGGUAUAUUAUAACUAUCACAGAACCCAAAUACAGUGCUGAACAAUCUUACCCAAACCAGUAGUGAAAUAGAGUUGCUCUUUUAUCUGAAAGCCAUCCAAAAAAAAAAAGAUCCACCUGAGUAUCGUUAUGAAAUUAUCUUUAUCUUCAACCCUAUAACAUCAAGUGCUGAUGUGGAAUCCUCAAGUGCAAUGAUCGAAGUAAAUCCUUCAACUAUUGGCAGUGAUGUGAAGGAUUCAACUCAAAUGAACACCAGUUUAGACACAAAAGCCAAACACAAGGUACACAACACAAAUGCUGAACUUUCCACAAACAUGAAAGAAAUCACUGUACCUUCUGCAAAAAGACCUCUCUUCCAAAAACCAGAUGAAAAUAUUCAAAUGGAGUCAAA